rnacentral:rRNA from 1 species
GAUGAACGCUGGCGGCGUGCCUAAUACAUGCAAGUCGAGCGAACAGAUGAGGAGCUUGCUCCUCUGACGUUAGCGGCGGACGGGUGAGUAACACGUGGAUAACCUACCUAUAAGACUGGGAUAACUUCGGGAAACCGGAGCUACUACCGGAUAAUAUAUUGCACCGCAUGGUUCAAUCGUGAAAGACGCUUUUGCUUUCACUUAUAGAUGGAUCCGCGCCGCAUUAGCUAGUUGGUAAGGUAACGGCUUACCAAGGCAACGAUGCGUAGCCGACCUGAGAGGGUGAUCGGCCACACUGGAACUGAGACACGGUCCAGACUCCGACGGGAGGCAGCAGUAGGGAAUCUUCCGCAAUGGGCGAAAGCCUGACGGAGCAACGCCGCGGGAGGGAUGAAGGUCUUCGGAUCGGAAAACUCUGUUAUUAGGGAAGAACAAAUGUGUAAGUAACUAUGCACGUCUUGACGGUACCGAAUCAGAAAGCCACGGCUAACUACGUG